rnacentral:rRNA from 1 species
GUGGAUUAGAUACCCUGGUAGUCCACGCCGUAAACGAUGUCGACUAGCCGUUGGAGACCUUAGAGUCUUUAGUGGCGCAGCUAACGCACUAAGUCGACCGCCUGGGGAGUACGGCCGCAAGGUUAAAACUCAAAUGAAUUGACGGGGGCCCGCACAAGCGGUGGAGCAUGUGGUUUAAUUCGAUGCAACGCGAAGAACCUUACCGCCCCUUGACAUCCUGCGAACUUUCUAGAGAUAGAUUGGUGCCUUCGGGAGCGCAGAGACAGGUGCUGCACGGCUGUCGACAACU